rnacentral:piRNA from 1 species
GUGUUACUUGGGGGCUGUGUUCAGG